GUCCACGCCGUAAACGAUGAAUACUAGGUGUUGGGAAGCAUUGCUUCUCGGUGCCGUCGCAAACGCAGUAAGUAUUCCACCUGGGGAGUACGUUCGCAAGAAUGAAACUCAAAGGAAUUGACGGGGACCCCGCACAAGCGGUGGAGCAUGUGGUUUAAUUCGAAGCAACGCGAAGAACCUUACCAAGUCUUGACAUCCUUCUGACCGGUACUUAAUCGUACCUUCUCUUCGGAGCAGGAGUGACAGGUGGUGCAUGGUUGUCGU
rnacentral:rRNA from 1 species